GACGUGUAAUAAAUUUAGAC
rnacentral:misc_RNA from 1 species